GGAGAGUUGUCCGAGUGGUUGAAGGAGCACGAUUGGAAAUCGUGUAUACGCCGAAAGCGUAUCCUGGGUUCAAAUCCCAGACUCUCCG
rnacentral:tRNA from 1 species